UACGAAGGGGGCUAGCGUUGCUCGGAAUCACUGGGCGUAAAGCGCACGUAGGCGGCUUGUUAAGUCAGGGGUGAAAUCCUGGAGCUCAACUCCAGAACUGCCCUUGAUACUGGCAAGCUUGAGUUCGGGAGAGGUGAGUGGAACUGCGAGUGUAGAGGUGAAAUUCGUAGAUAUUCGCAAGAACACCAGUGGCGAAGGCGGCUCACUGGCCCGAUACUGACGCUGAGGUGCGAAAGCGUGGGGAGCAAACAGG
rnacentral:rRNA from 1 species